UACGUAGGGUGCGAGCGUUAAUCGGAAUACUGGGCGUAAAGCGUGCGCAGGCGGUUCGUUGUGUCGGCGGUGAAAGCCCCCGGGCUCAACCUGGGAAUGGCCGUUGAAACUGGCCGAACUGGAGUGUGGCAGAGGGGGGGGUGGAAUUCCGCCGUGUAGCAGUGAAAUGCGUAGAGAUGCGGGAGAACACCGAUGGCGAAGGCAGCCCCCGGGCUGACACUGACGCCUCAGGCGACGAAGCGUGGGGAGCAA
rnacentral:rRNA from 1 species